UCAGUGCUUAACUCAGAGUAGAACAAACAAUGAAAAGCUCUAGGCUCAAACAAACACUUUUAUCAAGGCAGUGUGCAGGGAGGAGUAUAAUUUGAUGUAGCAUGUCUAUCCUGGGCAAGUCUCAUUAAAGGGACCCGCUUCUUAAAGUGCACUAUUCAAUGUUUUACAAGGGUGACUCCUCGCUGCCUGAUUUAAACUCUGCAUCUCCCACAGACCAAGAUAAAAGAACUCACUGUCUGGGGUUCCUGGAGAUGUCUGGAGCCUCCAAGCCAACUUUCAAGACGGCUGUAGCUCUUCUGUAGGAUCAGACCAGAUGGGCUAGCCUUCGUUCCCCACAUGCAUCAAUGAGCCUUGGGUGCUCAUGACCCUGUCGCUGGUUCACCGGUUGUCCCUCUUUGGACCACUAUUGUUUGAAUGCUGUGGCACCCAACUGCCAGCCUAGGCUUUGCUCCGUGCAUCUCAUUUCUCUGCUGACACCAAGAAACCCCCAUAUUGCCACUUCCACCCAGGGGGAAUGUGUGUUGCAGCUUCAGUAAUUAUCCUGCUGGAUUGGAAGUGCUGAGGCCAAAAGGGGAAACCUCAGAGUGCAGUAAACCUUGCUGUCAGUGUCACCACCACACAUGGUAAAAGAAAGUGCAACCCAAAUUUAAAUAGGUCAUCAACAGAAAGGGCAGAGUGAGCAGAGAUAGAAAAAUAGAGAAAAUAGAGAUGUUCUGGGGGUUUUCUUUUCUUUCUGCUUACCUGACACUGUAAACUCCCCACAGAAUCAAGACAAAAGCCAAAAUAAAGCAGGAAAAUGCACUGAAGAAGCAGUUUUUAAUCCUUUUGUGUAUUUGUCAUGUGAGUAAACAUAUUCAUUAAGCAUAUUCACUGUGUGUUCACAGAUGUAAUGGUAGAAAACCAGAGAGAGAAGAAAAGUGGUGAAUAAAGUUUCAAAAACUGAACUUUCUUUUCCAAACUUCCACUGCAAACUUUGUUACAUUUACCAAACAGCUGUCUGUUCUCUUGCAAGAUAUCUCAUGUAAAUGGUUUCUGUAUGGUAAAUACGCAACUUGGAUAUGUGCUCCAUUUUUAAUGAGGUAACUGAGCCCCAUUUCUACAUGGGUUGAGCUACUAACAUUCAAUUUUAAGAUGUUUCCCCAGCAAAUCUGAAAAUUAAAUUACAGUACAUGUUAGAGAAAAACAAUUAUAUCACUGUUCUGACUGCUCAUUGUGAUUGGCUGACAGUUAUGUCAGUAUCUCCUUGAUCCAUGCACCCUGAAUGCAUCACUGUAAGUACCACUUUUCUUUGUGUAACUUUUCGCCCCUUGUAUCUUAGCAACCACUAGAGCUGCCAGCUAUCUGUAACACAGUAACCAAAAUUAGCAGUUUACUACUGAGCACAAGUGAGCGGAAUCAAUUUUGUCAAACCUUUUGUUAUUUGAUGAUAAUGUUCCAAAUGAAAGGUUUACUUCACUUCACUUUACUUCACACGACAACAGAAUAUAUUAGAGUUUGUUGUUACUUUCUCAUUCAAUAUUGCAUUGAGUAGAUGACAGAAUAGUUUUACACAGCUGGCCAAGAGAUGUUCAAGGAGGUAAUGAUGGG